rnacentral:rRNA from 1 species
AUUCCAGCUCCAAUAGCGUAUAUUAAAGUUGUUGCAGUUAAAAAGCUCGUAGUCGGAACUUUGGCCGGCGGUGAGCGUCCAAGGGCCUUCGGCCUUUGCGCAUGCGAUCCGCUAGCCAUGUACUUCGGAGGAACGCGUGUGCUUUUCACUAAGUGCGCGUGGGAUUCCGAUAGUUUACUUUGAGAAAAAUAGAGUGUUCAAAGCAGGCGUUUUGCCUUGAAUACAUUAGCAUGGGAUAAUGAAAUAGGACAUUGGUUCUAUUUUGAUGGUUUCGAACACCGGAGUAAUGAUUAACAGGGACAGUCAGGGGCACUCGUAUUCCGCCGAGAGAGGUGAAGUUCUCAGACCAGCGGAAGACGAACCACUGCGAAAGCAUUUGCCAGGGAUGUUUUCAUCG